UUUUCCUUCUUCUCAAAUUCCUUUCUUUCUCCAAGUUCUUUGCUCUUACAUCCCACAUUGCUGCUGCUUUACAAAUUUGGUUUGCUUCAACGGGAAUCAAUUCCUGCUUCGAUGGAAUACUUUCAGGUGAGGAUUGGUUCUUCUAUCUAUUGUUCUCUGAAAUUGAUUUUCAAUUCGGCUAUUUUUUCAUAGUUUGAAUGUGCUUUUCAAAUUUUAAAUACAAAGGAAACCAAAAUUGAACUAUUGGUUUAAUACUUCAAUCUCUUUCUGAUUUGGGCAAUUGGUGUGAAGUGAAGCCAAAAUUUAGGAAAAUCCGAUUUAGUUUGUAGGCAUACUGUUUUCCUAUUACUGAUGGAUUAAUUUCAUUAACAAAUUGAUUUUACAGAGGAUUUUUAAUUGUCUUACAAGAAGGUUUAGUGCAGUUCUUUUGUGUGCCACUUAUACUGCUUUUGUGUUUUUUUAUUUGUUUGUUCUUCUACUCCAAAAUUCUCCUCUUAUUGUUUGCUAAAUCAAAUGUCGUAGUCGCGUACUUCUUCUAAAAAUUCUUUCAUGUUCCAUAAUUUGCUCUCUUCUUUCUAUUGUUUUCCAAAAUUAUUUUAAAUAUUGAACUCAUACUAUAUAUUAUUCCAAAACCAUUUCAGUCUCUUCAUUUAGAUCACCCAAACAUUCCCAAAUAGAUAAAAUUUACAGGCUCCAACCUAUAAUGAGAAUAGGGCUUCAGCCAAACACUGGAGAUGAUUGAGAUGCACAACAAUGUAUACUAAAAUAUUUGGAGGUCUGACUAAGAUAAUUAGGUAGCCAAGACUUCUAUCUUUGCAAUUUAGAUAUGAAAAAUUAACAAGCGCAAUGAAUUUAGUAGCCAUGAUUUGCCGACCUUAACUGCAUGUUGACUGUGGUUCACAAUCUACAUUAUUUAAACACCAAGGCAACACCAAUUAGUAUGAGAGGGGUGAGAACCUGUAAAACAGUCCAACCUUGCUCCCUGUAGUACCUUUGUUAUUAACCACGACAGAGAAGGACCCUCUAUAUGAGGGGCCAGACUCCAAAUUGGAUCAGAUCAAUCACCAGUUAAUUUUCAAGUUGAUGUUGGUAAUGAAGGCCAUUCGUUGAUGCCAAUAUUAGAGUAUUGAUCUUGAUUUUUAAAGUUAGUGAUAUGUUAUAGGUUUACUUAUAAUUUUCAUUGUUGUAGAUUUCCCCAAAUUGAUGACAAAAAUUUACACAUAUGUAAUCAUAUAUAUGGAUGUCCAUCAGUUAUUCUUAACCCAGACACAUCAGUUUCUCCUUACACAACAAACAUGAAUACUUAUACAAACAUCAAGCUACACAGACAACUCUUAGUUCUGCCAAAGGCAACCCAAGGAAAUGUUUCUUAGACAAACACUAGCUUAGAAGUAACAAAAAAAAACACUAGAUGACAUGAAUAAAGGAAGGGGGAAAAUAUUAUUCAUGGUCUUAGUACAUGGUUUCAUUUAGUAUCAAUUUUAGAUAAUGGUCUUAGAAGCAAUUGUUAUAUUGUCUAUAUCUUAAGUUAUCACUGAAUGAGUGGGAAACCAAACAAAGAGCUAGAUUGACUAUUGCUCUAACUACUUUAACAUUUAGAGUUUUUGGAUGUUCAAUAGUUUGAUGUUCGCACAUGAACAUUUUGCUUUAUGACAUAAAUACAUGCAUAUUGCAGUUUAGUUUUGAGGCGACCCUUCAAUAGGUCAUCCAACAGAUACACUGAAUUCAUCGUUGGAAGCCAAAAAACAACUUAUCAUUCAAGAAGUCAAGGUGGUGCCACCAACAAACAUGAAGUUGCUCGAGGAUCUCAGUUAUUUCAUAUUUGCUUCUCGGUAUGCAAGGUAUGAAUACUCACAAAAGUGACGUUUUGCUUCUUUUUAAUUUGUCUUCAUUUCUUUGAUCUAUAUAUUUGAUGGUCAAGAAUCAUUACUUUUGCGGACAACAUGUCCUUGCAGAUUUAUAAGAAAAUUACAUCCUCAAAUAUUUCAUUGUUAACAAUAUGCGUAUACUUUCUCAUUCCCAAGUAAGGAUUCCCAUUAGUUGUCCAUGCAAGGUCAUCCAUCCUUAGAAUGUGAUGAGAGACGUGGGUCGCAGAAACAUAUACUGAAAUUUAAAAGUUGCCUAUUCGAACGAGCUUGAAAAAAAUAAUCUAUUUUUUCUUCGAUUUUAUCCACCAUUUUCUCAAUUUAAACAUUUCUAACUAUCACACUCAUGCGAAAUAAAAGUCUAAGUAUAGGCUAAUUAUCACUUUUUUUAAUAUCUUUUGUUUUCUAUUCAGUUCUUUGAGAUCUAUUAGUUUCCAGUGUGCGUUUAAUCCUUAGAUGAACCAUAUGACAGUGAAGAAUACAACCAUUGACAAUAAUGAUAACUUGAUACUCUAAUCAUUUCAAGGGAACCGAGAUUAGGGAUUGUCUAUGUGAGGAUUGUAACAAACUUUAUUGAGCAACAAGAGUAUGAACUCUGCUGAUUGACAUUGGUGUUCAAAGUCAUAACUGUUCAACCCUCCAACUGAUGAUAAACCAGUAGCAAAAUCAGUUGCAUAGUUUCUUAUGAGAUGGUGUUCUAAUAAACCAAAGUUGGAACUAUUGUAAUGAGGUGGUGUUCAUAUGCCUACCUGUUUUUUAUUCAGUGUAGUUCACAUAUAUCAACCUGUUUUGUUUAGGCAAAAUCGUUUUUUGGCGUUUUCCGUUAGAUUGUGUUAUAAGCAAGUCUGCAUCAGAUUUUUAAGAUUAUAACAGCUUGGAAAAAUAAAUAUGACAUCCGACCUUUGUGCAGGGCCGGCUCAAGAGAUGUGGGGGCUUUAGGCAAACCGGUCUUUGAAGUAGAAAUCAGAAAAUAUUUUGAAGAAAAAACGUAGGAUAGUUUUUUUGUUUUUUUUUUUUUAUUAUUAUUAAAUGCAAUUUAAUUUGAUUUUAGUUUUUAUUGUAGAAGAGUUAUACUAAUUGUUAUUUAGAGAACUCUUCAAUAUUUAGAGCUUUAUUUUAAAAAAACACCUAAAAAAUGAAGAAAUAAAUGCUUAAAUAGAAAAUAUGUGGCCCAACAAUUAAGUGGGGCCUUAGGCACUUUCCUAAUUUGCUAUACAGUAGAGACGUCCCUGCCUUUGUGGAAAAUUAUGAAAUGGACACUAAAAAUGAUGGUAUUUUAAGAGUUGUGUUAUUUGUCAUACAAAAAACAAAAUAAUAAUAAUAAUAUUUAUUAUUCACAUGAGUCGUUUACACAUUUUUCAUUCUUGGCAGGUGCAAGGUUCGUUAUAAAAUCUAUGUGAUACAAAGUUUUGUUUGUUACGAGCAAGUAAAAGGACAAAGCCCUUCGACUGUCAAACAUCUUUCCAAGAGUCACUUAGAUCAAAAUCUUAAGGUGAGCAAUGUGUCUUUAGCAUCGUUAUUCCUAUGGUUUCUCAUUUGUAUUGUUCCCCAAGUUGUAGACACAAUUUCACAACAUGAAAUGAAUUUUGACUCAGAUUUGUACAUUGAUCACUAUGAAUUGUGCAACUAAUUAAAAUUGUACAGGACCACUAUGUAUGUGUGGGUAGUUUUUCUUGGAAGCUUCUGCUUCAUAUUGUUAAAGUUUUGUGAAAAGAGUGGGACAAAGCAGAAAAGUGAAACGGGUGAUUGAUGGUUUCUUGCACAAAACCAUGAACGAUCGAUAAGUAUUAGAUAU
rnacentral:lncRNA from 1 species